UUUCCAUUAUGGUUGAUCACAGAGCAUUGAAUACAUUUCCCUGUGCUUUACAGCUGGACCUUCUCCCUUCCACUCUGUUCCAGAGUUUGCAUCUGCAUCCCCAAACUCAACAAGGUUUCUUGUUUCUGGUGUCUGCCCCCUGUGGGUGAGGCUGUUUCAGAGCCUGGCCCCUGGCUUUUGGGUGGGACCAGAUCUUGUUGCUCUGGACUCAGGCAAAAUGUCUGACCCCAGGAGAGCCACAGCUUCCCCCUGCCUCCUAGGAGACCCUCUGACACCAGCAGGUGUGUCUGGAACAGAUGCCUAUGAAGUCACUGCUUUGCCCUGGGUCCCAGUACCCCCUUUGAGUGGAGUCUGUUUCCUCUGUCCUGUGAAGCUCCUGCAAUCAAGUCAGUGGGAUGGCUUGUGGUUCCUUCUUUAUGUCUUUAGCUAUAGAACAUCUUUUUUGAAUCCCAUGGACAGAGGAGCCUGGGGGGCUGCAGUCUGUGGGGUGGCGGAGUCAGACACCAGGCACGACUGAGCGACUGCCAUGGACUAUUACGGGGUGUCUUUCUGGAUUAAAAGUAGAUUUAGAGACAGGUGAAGAGUGAAAUGGGUGUGUAAGAAGACCGAAAAGAAGCUCAGAUAAACCUGUCAAUUAAAAAUAAACUUCACAGAUGUUCACAUCUUUCUCUGAAAAAUAAUCUCAGGAGUUUAAUUCACCAUUAAUUGU